AUUGAACGCUAGCGGGAUGCUUUACACAUGCAAGUCGCACGAGUGGCGUACGGGUGAGUAAUAUAUCGGAACGUGCCCCUUAGCGGUGGAUAACUACUCGAAAGAGUGGCUAAUACCGCCUACUCUUGGAGCGGCCGAUAUCGGAUUAGCUAGUUGGUGGGGUAAAGGAUCACCAAGGCAACGAUCCGUAGCUGGUUUGAGAGGACGACCAGACACACUGGGACUGAGACACGGCCCAGACUCAUACGGGAGGCAGCAGUGGGGAAUGGUGGACAAGGGGGGAAACCCUGAUCCAGCCAUCCCGCGUGUAUGAGAAGGCCUUCGGGUUGUAAAGUACUUUUGGCAGAGAAGCGGUAUCUGCAGAAUAAGCACCGGCUAACUACGUGCCAGCAGCCGCGGUAAUUC
rnacentral:rRNA from 1 species